rnacentral:rRNA from 1 species
AGCAGCCGCGGUAAUUCCAGCUCCAAUAGCGUAUAUUAAAGUUGUUGCAGUUAAAAAGCUCGUAGUUGAAUUUCGGGAUCAAUAUGUCGGUCGUGCCUUCGGUACGUACUGGUAUCAUUGGUCUCUCCUUUCUGACGAACCAUGAUGUCAUUAAUUUGGUGUUAUGGGGAGUUAGGACUGUUACUUUGAAAAAAUUAGAGUGUUUAAAGCAGGCUUUAGCUUGAAUACAUUAGCAUGGAAUAAUGAAAUAGGACGUUCGAACCUAUUUUGUUGGUUUCUAGGAUCAACGUAAUGAUUAAUAGGGAUAGUUGGGGGCAUUAGUAUUCAAUUGUCAGAGGUGAAAUUCUUGGAUUUAUUGAAGACUAACUACUGCGAAAGCAUUUGCCAAGGAUGUUUUCAUUAAUCAAGAACGAAAGUUAGGGGAUCGAAGACGAUCAGAUACCGUCGUAGUCUUAACCAUAAACUAUGCCGACUAGGGAUCGGAUGAUGUUAAUUUUUAA